CCUAUGUCCAUCAUAGGGCAGGGUUGGCCAAUUGAGCUUCUCGAGGACAACACAAGGCAUGUCCUCCUGUCUUCCACAGCAAGGUGGGCCAAAACUGAGAGUGGAAAUGGCCUGUUGACCAAGGCAAUCCUCUUCCACAGCUUUGCAGUGGCUUCCCUGGACGUGUGCCAGUGCUCAACUACCAGCAGAAGCCGCAUCAUCAGGAUGGUACUCGGCAUGGCUGGUGGUUUGUGUCUGUCACCGCUGCUUCUGCUGCCUGGCACCUCCUGACAAGCAGAGGAAUUGCCCUAAUUAUGGGCUCUCUUGCAUCAGCAGAAAUGAACUGAGCAGAUGACGGUUACCUAGCACUAGCACCUCCCGCAUCCUGGGAAAGCCUGCAGCCACCAAGGAGCCUUCCUCAUCUCUCACUGAUCAACCUGAGCUUUGAGGGCAGGAGAGGCCGAUUAUCCAGGUGGGAGCUUGGGAUGCUUUGCUGCAAUAGCCAGGAGCUGAACUAGAGCUGAGCAGGGCUCAGGAAGAGCUGGCAGGGUUUAUCUCUGCGUUCCGUGCCUUGGUGUCAGUGUUUUCUAGCAAGCCUGUGAAUGAGUCUUCAGGGUUUUGGUGGAUCUACAGCAUGGAUGAAAAAAAAUCCCCAAAAGCCGAAGAGGUUUGGAGCUCUUCUAGUUCUGGUUUUGAUUGAAACUUACAAAUUUUACAGGGGAAAUAAAAAUAAACUGGUGAUCAUUUGGGAUCUGUAGCAACGCUGUGUUUCAGCCAUGGCUUCCCACGCUGUUGCUGCUGAUCUGGUCUAGCAGACCUGAGGCUGAAGCCUCUGCCCAGCCUUUAUGCUUGCUUUGCAUCAGCAAAACUGAUCUUGAGUGCUGGGAACCAGAUAGUGCAACACCCAGGCCCUGACCCUCUUACUCAGGUACCGGCUUUGCUGCUGCUGGAACAGCGAGGCCGGUUUGGUGUGAGCAUGACGUGUCUGGGCAAGGCUCUGCCCCUUGUCCCCUUCUCCCUGUUCUUCCCCUGGUUCUGAGCCACAAGCUCUAAUCACACCCAUUAAUCAUCAAGCUGGGCUGCCUCUGCCCUGCCAGCUGGGUCCUAUGCUGCCCCCAGCCAUGCCCUGCUCCCCAGCGCCAGGGGCAGAGCCACCUCGAGCACUGGCAAUACCUGGGGGACAACAAUCCCUUCUCCAUCACUGCAUGGAGCAGAGCAAGUGUUGGGGCUGGGGGAACAGGGAGGGUAGGGGAUGGCAUUUCCCUGUGUCAGAGAGGACGGUUUCCCCGGUAAUCCAGAAACUGCUGCUUUGAUGUGCAGUAUCUGGGUGACCAGAGAAAAGCACACACAGAGCUUGCUCGAAGCAAGCAAGGACAUGCUCAGUUGUGAUGUGGGCAUGACUCUGCUGCCCAGCAAGAAGAGCUGUUUGCUCUCUCCACCUCUGCGGUUUGUGUGAGAGUCACUAACAGAGUAGGUGACUGUCACCAGCUGAGGUUUUGCUGCAGAGAAAUCUAAGAGAAACCUCCCACAGGAGCUGGGUAUCAAAACAGCCACCCCAGUGUCAGGGGAGCUGCUUCUUCGCACCCCAUCCUCUGCAGCUCACCCCCCCGCUGCUUCAAAUGCAGAAACAAGUGUGCAGAAAUAAAUACAGAAGGAAGGGAGUUCUUAUUCUCUCUUACAAGAUCUCUAUUAUUUCUGUAUUUAUUUCUGCAUACUUAUCACUUCUGUGCCACUUAAUCAACCAACUUGGACAUUACCAAAUGAGAAGAUCAGCCCUAUUAAUAAUAUUCUUGUCCCCUCUGUAGCUGGCUCUUUGUUAAUAAAACACAAGGAUGAGCACGGUCCCUGCAUCCAUCUGGAUGUCAAGCAGGGCACCGAAGGGAUCAGCUGGGAAAGCUGAAGCCUGGCUGGAAUCUCUGUGCCAGGGGAUGGAGGAGGCUGGCUUCCCCAUGCCCUUUGUCUGCUGAGAGGAGGAAGAAGCACAAGGUGAUGGGCAGAGAGGUGAGAAACCUGUGGCUGGCCCAGGAACGGUGUGUGGAUGGGAUUUGCAGGACAUUACUCUUUCGGGAAGCUGCUGGGAGGAGCCGCGGGUGCAUCUGGGCUUUGGAGCAGAGCUGCUGGCAGGGUAAGGUAAAGGGCUUCCAGGGCCAAAACACAGGCAGGAGGGGAUGGCUGGAGCGUAGAGCAGAGCUGGGAGGGAGGGGGGCAGGAUUUGGCUGUAGCCCAGCUGGGACAGGCAGAGCACAUGAGACUGAGCAGAGCUGAGCAGAGGCAGGAGCAAAGGUGCCCAGGGCAUGGCCCUUGUGAGGCUCCAGCAGAGGGAAGGGAAAUGCAAAGCUCUUCUGCUAAAAUAGAUAAGUCUUUGUUUUUGGUUUGUUUUUUUUUUUAAAGAAAAAGCCUGGAAAAACUGGCUUUGCCACUUCUGGAGAACUUUAACAUUUUCUGAUCAGGAAGGAAAAAAUGAUAUCACUCAUGAAAAGCUGUGCUUGGCAGAAGCGUUACUGCCUCUCAGUGCUCUUUUGAGCAACUGUAGCAUCGCCUGGCUGGUGUGAAGGACCUGAGAUGAUUCCUGUGAGGAACGGGAGGGUUUUCUCAGGUGUCUCCAAGCCAGGGAGCUGGGAAGAGGCAGCUGCUCUUUGGCAGACUUCCCUUCAUCCAUGUGCCACAAUUCUGACAUCAGGUGAUGCUUUGUUUCAGAGGGACUUGGGUUUUUCUUCGGGUUUUGGUUGUGUAUUUUGUGCUAAGACAGAUUCUCAACGGACAAAAGUGAUGAUAAUUAUUAUGAUAUGGAAACUUCACUGCUGGACUUUUUUCUCUCUUUACGUUAGUUUGCACCCUCACUGAUAAAAGUAAUUUUGGAGCAAAUUUCCCCAAAGCUGGCAUUUCUGGGAUGUCAGCAGGUUCUCACCCUGGCUUUGCACUUGCUGGCAGGUGGCAGGAAAUCUGUCUCAUUUUUUCCCA